GGGAGGGCAUGUGGGUUGCAGGCCACCAGGAGAACCUGGCUCAGUCAUCCUAGACUGUCACAAAUCCCCUUGUGUGGUUCAUUUUUAUUUCAUUGUUAUCAUCAUUUUCUUGGAAACCUUUCAUUCUAAGCCCGACAAGCCUGACUGGCAGAUUCACUGUCUGAUAGGUCUAGUUUUAGAUUAUAUGCUUUUUCUUAAAGCCGUCUUCAUCUGUUAACCUGCAUUCAUUUUUAAUCUUCAGGCUCCAAUCAAUAAUUAUUCACUUGACAGUUUUUGACAGUCUGCUGCUUCAUGUAGCUGUUUAGCAUGAAUUCAAAAGGCGAUUUCUCAUUCUGCACAAGUGAAGUAAAGUUGCUCUUUCAUCCUCUAAUUUGGGGGGUAUAGAAAAAUAUUCAUGUUUACUCUGCCCUCGGGAGUUUUUGGUAUAAAAAUGCUUAAUAAAUAUUUAAUAAUUUUCUCUAUAAGAAGAUCUGUAAAACAUUAACAUUUUCUGUUGCAUUUUGCUUAUGUCAGAAAUUCACUUGAGAGUACGGAUUUCUGUUCAUGGGAAUUGAUACUAUGAGGUUAGCUCCUCAACAAAUGUUUAUUGAAUACUCAUUGUGUGCAAGGCAUUAUGUUAAAUGUGAUGGGAAAUUAGUACAUGGCCCCCAGGAAAUGUAGUGGUCAUGGAAACAAAACCACUACCAAAAUGAUGAUGGGUAGAAAUACUUAAAGAAUGAUAAUCUUAUCUUGCUGCCUUAUCUGCACUUAGGAUAAUCCUACUUGGAAAUUCCACGUGAAAAGUAGGAACAAAAGUGCAUGGUUAUCUCUGUGUCUACAUUAUACAUACACGCACAUGUGAACACAUUGUAGUCAAGGGCAAACCUACCCCAAGUCUAAACAGAAGGGGGAAAUGUUCUUUUUCACCAGAAUCAUAGUGUUAGAAUUCUUGGCAGUUCAGAUGAUCUCUGCCAUAGCUGUUGGUUUACAUUUUGAUAAUUUACCAAUGAGCAUGUAAUGUUUAAUUCUUAGUUGGGUUGUGGCACCAAACACAGCAUUUCCAAUGAAACACACUGCAAAUGUGAAAGUAAGAGUUUUCCUUGGGAACGAGCAGCUCACUUACUCAUCGGUUCUUCUGGGAGUAGGAGUGCGACCUAGAGGUUAGAAGUUCUGAAACAGAAGAAGGAAAUCAGACCAUGUGACAGUGAACAGGAAAGGAGGUGCUUAAUACUCCCGCUCCUUUGCAGUGAGCUUGGCUUUUCCUCCUUGGUCUGGGGCCCUUUGGCUUCCCAUAUCCUGGCAUGAUUUAGGGAAGCAGGCACUGACCUUCUGGUGCCCUCUCUUUCAUUUUACUCCAGGCAUAUUACUAAGCAAAAUACAUUGUCAUAUUUCUGUGGCUAAAGCGUUUCAGAUUUUGGUACUGAGCCUUUGUAUUUAAGCUUAAUAGGGCAAAAGAGCUAGCAUUUUGUGGACGUCACUGACCCUUUACCACAAUUGAGGUUUUUUUUGUUUUUGUUUUUGUUUUUUUUUGCUUUUUAGGGCCCCACCUGCAGCAUAUGGAAGUUCCCUUGGCUGGGGGUCAAAUCAGAGCUACAAUUGCCGGCCUACACCACAGCCACAGCAACAUCAGAUCUGAGCUGCAUCUGCAACCUACACCACAGCUCACGGCAACACUGGAUCCUUAACCUAUUGAGUGAGGCCAGGGAUCUAACCCACAUCCUCAUGGAUACUAGUCAGUUUUGUUACCUCUGAGCCACAACAGGAACUUCCACAAUUGAGAUUUUUAUAGAAACCUUACAUAAACUUCAUUGCACCUGAUGAUGGCAGCUGAGCCGGUCACUAAUUAGGACUAUGAGUACUUGGCUGUUGCUCUUUUUGACUCUGCUCUGGGUUUUGUUUAUUUAUUUUUUAUGGCUGCACUCAUGGCAUAUGGAAGUUUUCUGGGCCAGGGAUUGAAUCUGAGCCACAACUGUGAUUUACGCUGCAGCUGUAGCAAUCCUAGAUUGUUUAACCUGCUCUACUGGGCUGGGGAUCAAACCUGAGUCUCUGUGGUGACCCAAGCCACUGCAGUCAGGUUCUUAACCCACUGCACCACAGUGGGAACUCCUGCUCUGGAUUUUAGCUUAUUUCAUUAAAUCUGCUGCUGAUUUUCAUUGUCUGCACGCACAUGGUUGCAAAUGUAACUCUCUCCUGAAGCAGCCAGUGCUUUGGCUCCAUUGUCCUGUAAAGGCUGGGGAAAUCAGUUGAAAAGAAGCUAAGGUAGAAGUGGUGUGUAAGCCACGCUGUCAGGCUUGCUCUCCAUGCGCUCACCACCUUCAGGCCCUCAAGCCCAGAGAUGGCUUCAGGUCUGUGCCUAGGGCUGGGUCACACAGACUCGGAGAAUUAAGUGACAUCUGAGCCAGAGCUGGCACCGUUAUACCGACUUGCUAAUAAUUCACAAUGAAUCAUCACUGAUAGAUCCUCAGGCCCCUGCGAUUAGCACAUGCUCUUUGUCAAGCUACCUGGGAAUGUAGAUAAUACUUGGAAGCUCCUCUGUUGAUUGAUUCACCUUGAGAAAUUGCUGCUCUCUGGAUGCUGGUAGUGCAUGGGUCAUAGCACCCAAGUGUCCUCAAGAAACGCUUUAUAGGGACUUGAGAGAAGGGUAUCUUUCUUUCUUUCUUUCUUUCUUUCUUUCUUUCUUUCUUUCUUUCCUUUUUUUUUUUUUUUCUUGUCUUUGUGUCUUUUCUAUGGCCGCAGCCAUGGCAUAUGCAGAUUCCCAGGCUAGGGGUCUAAUCGGAACUGCAUUCGCCAGCCUACACCAUAGCCACAGCUACGCAGGAUCCGAGCCGCGUCUGCGGCCUACACCACAGCUCAUGGGAACGCCGGAUCCUCAACCCACUGAGCAAGGCCAGGGAUCAAACCCGCAACCUCAUGGUCCCUAGUCGGAUUUGUUGACCACUGAGCCAUGACGGGAACUCCAAGGGUAUUUUUGUAGUGGGACCAAACACCCUUCAGCAUUGGCUAUAGUUAUCUCACUAGGGCGGUCUAGACAGUGAAGCUACUUUCUAACUCCCAACAGCUGUGACACUGUCCAUAUUCACUUUAGUAUCUGUAUUUCCCUACCUGAGCCAGCCCAGGCCCCCUUUUGAAGACAUAAUCUAUUCUUAAAUAUAGAUGAAGUAUAGUUCACAGGUAUUGGCUGGGGCAGGGGGCAGCAGCGGUGGUGGUGGUGGUACUUUGCUUUCUCCAUUCAUGUUGUAGGUUCACAUUCUAAUCCCUGGAGUUUUUGUUCUUACCAUAAACCUCUGACUAGGCAAUCUCUUGCCCCAUUUCCAAGUUCCUGGUGGGGCGUAGUGGUGUCAAUCUUCUUAUACUCCUCACUGUACUCUUUCUAAGACCCUUGGACACUUUAAUAAACGUCUCAGGAAUUAUACCUUCAGAGCAGGCACCGUGACCUGCUGAGCAAUAUGGAGGCAUUCGUCCAGAGCAAGAGCAGGCAAACCACAUUGGCCUGCUGCCUGUUUUUGUCAAUAAAGUUUUAUUGGAACACAGCCAUGUCCAUUCAUUUAUCUAGUGUCUGGGGGUGCUUUCGCAGUACAACCACAGGCCUGAGUUGAGUAGUUGCAAAAGGGAUCGUGAGCCAACAAAGCCUGAAAUUAUUUACUCUUGGGUGCAUUUCAGAAAGCAUUUGCCAACCUCGGUCUAUAGAAUUUGCAAGUCAUAGAAUUGCAGCAAGUAAGAACUAGAAGCCCGCCCCCCCCCCCCCCCCCCGCCAAAUUCAGUGAGCACAUGGAGGAUUAGAGAAAGAAUGAGACUUGCAUAAAGGUCACGGAGGUGCUUAGUUGGAGAGCCAGAACCUGAACUCAGAUUUUCCAAUUCCUGGGGUAAAGACUGGCCUCCUGCUUUUGGAGGUGGGGUAUUGUGAGUUUUACGGUUUACAGAUGAUCCACCAUUACAACAUACUGAAAUAAAGCUUCUUGAGUGGCAGGAGCUAUUUUCCAUACUGACUUCGCCAGCUAAGGUCACCAGCCAGGCAUCUACCAGACCCUAAGGGCUAGGGACACUGAUUAAUAAAUAGCAUCCUUUCUCUCAGGAAAUGUGGAUGAGAGAAAGAGUCAGGCAUUUGCACAUCCUUUCAUUUGCAGUGUGUUAAAUGUCAUCUUAGGGCCACGGUCAUGUGAAAGGAAGGAUGUGUUUGUUCAGCCGUGAGGGGUAGGGGGGUUGUCCGAUGUGGCUCUACAGAGUUGGAGACGUUUGAGUUGGGUCUCAAAAGGAUGGAGUCCUUCAGGCAGACAUUUGCAAAUGGACGUGGCUUGGGGGCCUGUAGGCCUGAAGUCCAGUAGUUUGGGAAUACUUGAUGACCCACAGCCAGAGGUGUAGGGUAUGUGGCAAGGGUGGGACAAGAAACCCAGCUGGAAAUGAAGGUUGGAUGCAAAUUGUGGAGCCCUUGGCGUUCAUGAGAAAGACUUUCGUUUACAUUCUGGAGGUUUCUCACCUAUAGAUCUCAGAGCCCAUGAGAGAUUACCGUUCUUAUACAGGAAGGCCUCUCUAUCCACAUGCAUGGGAAACAUUGUCCAUAGAUUUCAUACUAUCACUAACAGGCGUUCCCACUGUGGCUCAGCCACCUAAGGACCCAACGUUGUCUCUUGAGAAGGUGGGUUGGAUCCCUGGUCUUGCUCAGUGGGUUAAAGAGCUAGCAUUGCCACAAGCUACAGCAUAGGUCACAGGUGGGCUUGGAUCCAGUGUUGCUGUGGCUGAGGCAUAGGCCUGCAGGUGCAGCUCCAAUUCGGCCCCUAGCCCAGGGACUUCCACGUGCCACAAGUACAGGUGUACAAUAAACAAAUAAAUAAAAAGAUGUGGUACAUAUAUAUAUAUACAAUGAAAUACUACUCAGCCCUAAACAAGAACAAAAUAAUGCCAUUCGCAGCAACACAGAGGCAACUAGAGAUUCUCAUACUAAGUGCAGUAAAUCAGAGACAAAUACCACAUGCUCUCACUUAUAUGUGGAAGCUAAAGUCUGGCACAGAUGAGCCUAUCGACGAAUCAGAAGCAGAUUCACGGACAUAGAGAAGAGACUCAUGGUUGCCAAGGGGG
rnacentral:lncRNA from 1 species